GACGAACGCUGGCGGCGUGCUUAACACAUGCAAGUCGAACGGAAAGACCCUGCUUUUGUGGGGUGCUCGAGAGGCGAACGGGGGUGUAACACGUGAGUAACACGCACUUGAAUUUGGGAGAACAUCAGGAAACAGGGGCGAAUACCGCAUAGAAGAUUCUGCUGCACGGGGGGGGAUGGAAAAUUUCGGCUGUUGGGGAUUGACUAGCGGCUUAUCAGCUUGUUGGGGGGGUAGGGGCUUACAAAGGUUUUGAAGGGUAGCCGGCCUUGGAGGGUGGCCGGCCACAUUGGGCCUGAGGUACGGCCCAGUCUCCUACGGGAGGCAGUAGUGGGGAAUAUUGCACAAUGGGCGGAAGCCUGUUGCAGCAACGCCGCGUGCGGGAUGACGGCCUUCGGGUUGUAAACCGCUUUCGCCUGUGACGAAGCGUGAGUGACGGUAAUGGGUAAAGAAGCACCGGCUAACUACGUG
rnacentral:rRNA from 1 species